GGGGAUGUAGCUAAAUGGUAGAGCGCAUGCAUAUGCGAGGCCCUGGGUUCAAUCCCCAGCACCUUGA
rnacentral:tRNA from 1 species